UACGGCUCAGUAACACGUGGAUAACCUGCCCUUGGGUCCGGCAUAACCCCGGGAAACUGGGGAUAAUUCCGGAUAACGCACAUAUGCUGGAAUGCUUUAUGCGUAAAAUGGAUUCGUCUGCCCAAGGAUGGGUCUGCGGCCUAUCAGGUAGUAGUGGGUGUAAUGUACCUACUAGCCAACAACGGGUACGGGUUGUGAGAGCAAGAGCCCGGAGAUGGAUUCUGAGACAUGAAUCCAGGCCCUACGGGGCGCAGCAGGCGCGAAAACUUUACAAUGCGGGAAACCGUGAUAAGGGGACACCGAGUGCCAGCGUCAUACGCUGGCUGUCCAGGUGUGUAAAAUACACCUGUUAGCAAGGGCCGGGCAAGACCGGUGCCAGCCGCCGCGGUAACACCGGCGGCCCGAGUGGUGAUCGUGAUUAUUGGGUCUAAAGGGUCCGUAGCCGGUUUGGUCAGUCCUCCGGGAAAUCUGAUAGCUCAACUAUUAGGCUUUCGGGGGAUACUGCCAGACUUGGAACCGGGAGAGGUAAGAGGUACUACAGGGGUAGGAGUGAAAUCUUGUAAUCCCUGUGGGACCACCUGUGGCGAAGGCGUCUUACCAGAACGGGUUCGACGGUGAGGGACGAAAGCUGGGGGCACGAACCGGAUUAGAUACCCGGGUAGUCCCAGCCGUAAACGAUGCUCGCUAGGUGUCAGGCAUGGCGCGACCGUGUCUGGUGCCGCAGGGAAGCCGUGAAGCGAGCCACCUGGGAAGUACGGCCGCAAGGCUGAAACUUAAAGGAAUUGGCGGGGGAGCACA
rnacentral:rRNA from 1 species